GCCAGUGUGGUGUAGUGGUUUGUGUGUUGGACUAUGUCUGGAGAUCAGGGUUCAAUUCCCUGCUUGGCCA